rfam:Streptococcus ratti FA-1 = DSM 20564 Contig161, whole genome shotgun sequence.
GGGGUCGUUACGGAUUCGACAGGCAUUGUGCGGCUUAUUUUGCGACUCAUCGGCAGAUGUAAAAAUGCCAGUUAAAUAUAACUGCAAAAAAUACAAAUUCUUACGCAGUAGCUGCCUAAAAACCAGCCUGCGUGACUUCCACGAGAUUGCUUGUGUUUCGGCGGAAGUCUUAUGAUUAGCAAGCUACGUUUAACUAUUGUCUGGCUGGUUAAAAAGAGAACUACAGACUCGCUGAGGAAAGAUUUGAGCUAUGUAUCGUUUCUUAGUUAAAUCAAGACAUAGCCUAUGGUUGUAGACAAAUAAGCUGGCAGGUGUUUGGACGUGGGUUCGACUCCCACCGGCUCCAUAA